CACCGCGGUUAUACGAGAGGCCCAAGUUGAAAGAACCCGGCGUAAGGGGUGGUUAAGUUAGAAUUUACACUAAAGUCGAACAUCCUCACGGCUGUUAUACGCACCCGAAGACAAGAAGACCAACCACGAAGGUAGCUUUAUUUAAUCUGAAUCCACGAAAGCUACGACA
rnacentral:rRNA from 1 species